GCAUUAAUGGGGUAGUGGUAACCUGGGUCGUUGCCACGAUGCGGAUAUAUCGACCCGCCGGGGGUUCGAUUCCCUCUUAAUGCA